GCAAAAAUUAAUGUAAAACACAUCGAUGUAUUCUUGCCGAUGUGAAAAAAAAUCGAUGUAAAAGCGAUUUUCAGAUGCAAAAUCACGCCUUUUCUAUGCUCGAUUACAUCUUCCUUGAUAUUACACAGAAAUAUAAUAACAAUUUUUUAUUACACCUAAUUUGUGUAAAAUCAACAUCCAAUGAACGUGAUUAUUACACAAAAACAGCUGCAACCAAGUGGGUGCACUUUAGUUGUGUACAAUUACACAAAAUCGAUGCCAUAUCGCAUCCCCUAAGAUGCGAUAUUAAAUCUCGCAACACUGUACUGAUUGUUUGUGGUCGGUCUGCGCAAGCGAAGCAAGCCGCCAUGUUCUUGAAAGUGUUCAUUGAUCGAGUGCAGUGGUGUUUCUUAGAUUAUUAUUAAGUUUUUAAAUGACAGAAAUAGUCAGCAAUUUUUGAGGGAUCAUCAGUUCGGACAUCGGAGCAAGUUUCCGCUUGCUCGACCAAAAUAUUGUUGACCGAUUUGCUGGUACGUUUGAUCUGGUCAAUUUCCCGUCCAUUCGAUUCCCGUCUUACAGAUACUCUCCCCCAUGGUCAUUUCGUGCCCUUCAGACAGCUUUUCCCCGGGACAAAGGCAUGAGGUAAGUUUUGGAUGCGGAAGUUUGGUGACCUCGCGUUUUUUUUUUCAAAUUCAUUUGUAUUUCCAGAAAGGAUUGGUUACGGGACUGCACGACUAGGAAAUUUAAACUAGUGAGCUUCGAUUGAAUCCGAUGACCGGACACUUUGACACCAAAAUGGAAGGAGAGAUCGUCAACCUAAUUAAAGCAGGACAAGUCAAACUGUUUAAGAAUGUCUUCAGUCUUCGGAUCCUUUCCGUGGCUUGUUCGGAUGUGGCUACAAGUAGCUUGAGCAGUCUGAAGAAUGUUCGGAUCGCGGACUGGCAAAACAACGAUACUCAAGAAUCUCGGUGGAUCAAGCAAGCGGCAGAACAAGCUACUGAAGGCAGUGGCUUGGAUAUCUGGAAGUGACAGGCUACCCGGAUGAAAUUAGUGCGAAUCCCUACUCAGAAGCUGCAACUUUUCGACCUCGCCCGAUGGUGAUGCGUGUACACGGGGAUCUUACAAAACCGAUGCGGAGAAACUGGCGAGAAGUUAUCAGAUGCUUCGUAAAACACCACUACGACGACGUGAGCUCAAGCCGUCGUGAAUAUCCUAUGUCCUUGUGCUGUCAGCAACAUCAUGAGAGUGGAUCGUCUCAAAGAGCCUGAGAAGCUUCCUGGCGAUAACAAAGAGGACAUCAGACGGUAGGUAUGUCACGUGAUAUUCAAAUCAAGGCUCUAGGGUACUCUAUGCCCAUCAGCGAUGUCUUAAUUGAAUAUAACGCUAGGCUUGAAUUAUAGCUUCCAGAAAGCUUUCUCCUAAUUUUAUGAUGUAGUGUCUGCUGUUGCAUUUGCCAAAGCCAUUUAUGUGUCAGGAAUCUAUAAUUACAAGUUGGUGAGAAUAUUAC